rnacentral:rRNA from 1 species
CUUUUGGAGGGCAAGUCUGGUGCCAGCAGCCGCGGUAAUUCCAGCUCCAAUAGCGUAUAUUAAAGUUGUUGCAGUUAAAAAGCUCGUAGUUGAAUUUCGGGGUCAGCAGGUUGGUCGUGCCAAUGGUAUGUACUGGCCUUGCUGAUUCCUCCCUCUUGAUGAGCCGUAAUGCCCAUUAAUUUGGUGUUGCGGGGAAUCAGGACUGUUACUUUGAAAAAAUUAAAGUGUUUAAAGCAGGAAAC